ensembl:ncRNA C52E4.14 ncRNA
CCGAUAAACCGCGAGCGAUUGCAAUUCGAAAAAGACGACCGCAACGCACACGCGCCGCAUUCCGAAGAAUACAGAAUGCAGAAAGCACCAUUGUGCGCGAAAGCCGCGAUUUGUCGGUUGCUGUGUUUUAUAGGAUCAGCUGA